GGUCUUGACAUCCCGGAGACCUUAGGAAACUAGGGGUGCUUCCAUCUGGAAGAAUCUGGAGACAGGUGCUGCAUGGCUGUCGUCAGCUCGUGUCGUGAGAUGUUGGGUUAAGUCCCGCAACGAGCGCAACCCUUGCCUUUAGUUGCCAGCAGUUCGGCUGGGCACUCUAAAGGGACUGCCGGUGUUAAACCGGAGGAAGGUGGGGAUGACGUCAAGUCCUCAUGGCCUUUAUGACCAGGGCUACACACGUACUACAAUGGCCGAUACAAAGGGCAGCGACACUGCGAGGUGAAGCCAAUCCCGUAAAAUCGGUCUCAGUCCGGAUUGGAGUCUGCAACUCGACUCCAUGAAGUUGGAAUCGCUAGUAAUCGUGGAUCAGCAUGCCACGGUGAAUACGUUCCCGGGCCUU
rnacentral:rRNA from 1 species